rnacentral:misc_RNA from 1 species
CAUUUUACCUUUUCUUUCUCCCAUUGUACACCAUUCGAUUCGCUUCCUCCCGGUACUGUCGUUUCCUCAAUUUUGAAUUUUGCAAAUCACCACCUCCUUGAGGGGUCCCACUCCUGACUCCGGCUAUCUUCGCCGGCCAUCAUACCAGAUCGACCUUUCUGUUGAGAAAUUGCAAGCAUGAGUGAAGUAUUUGAAGGAUACGAGCGUCAAUACUGCGAGCUCUCCGCAAAUCUUUCCAGGAAGUGUACCGCAGCCGGUGCUCUUGAUGGAGAGCAAAAGAAGCA